rnacentral:lncRNA from 1 species
UGUACAAGUUUGUAGGUUUGACUCUCAGAGAUGCCAGAAUGAUGAUGACAACAAUGGAAACCAAUAUAUUAAUUUUUCUUCAGGAACAUCCCAUUGAAAUUGAACCUCCUGUUAUAGUUCUUGAAUCAGAUGAUGACAGUAAUGUAGAGCACCACAGGCUUCAUAAACGACGCAGGAUGAAUAAAACUGAAAGAAAUUUCCAGGCUGAAAAUGUGAAUAUGGAACAUCCCGAAUCAUCCCCUGAAGUUGAGAUUAUAGAUGUUCGACCGGCCCCUCAGCAAAUGUCAUUUGAAUUAAUUGAUAUCAGGACACCAUCUCAAUCAAGUACAUGCACAAAUAUAAGUGUAAAUACGAGCACGAGCACAACCACAAGCAAUUCGUCCAC